CAAUACUGCAGUCGAGCGAAUGGAUUAAGAGCUUGCUCUUAUGAAGUUAGCGGCGGACGGGUGAGUAACACGUGGGUAACCUGCCCAUAAGACUGGGAUAACUCCGGGAAACCGGGGCUAAUACCGGAUAACAUUUUGAACUGCAUGGUUCGAAAUUGAAAGGCGGCUUCGGCUGUCACUUAUGGAUGGACCCGCGUCGCAUUAGCUAGUUGGUGAGGUAACGGCUCACCAAGGCAACGAUGCGUAGCCGACCUGAGAGGGUGAUCGGCCACACUGGGACUGAGACACGGCCCAGACUCCUACGGGAGGCAGCAGUAGGGAAUCUUCCGCAAUGGACGAAAGUCUGACGGAGCAACGCCGCGUGAGUGAUGAAGGCUUUCGGGUCGUAAAACUCUGUUGUUAGGGAAGAACAAGUGCUAGUUGAAUAAGCUGGCACCUUGACGGUACCUAACCAGAAAGCCACGGCUAACUACGUGCCAGCAGCCGCGGUAAUACGUAGGUGGCAAGCGUUAUCCGGAAUUAUUGGGCGUAAAGCGCGCGCAGGUGGUUUCUUAAGUCUGAUGUGAAAGCCCACGGCUCAACCGUGGAGGGUCAUUGGAAACUGGGAGACUUGAGUGCAGAAGAGGAAAGUGGAAUUCCAUGUGUAGCGGUGAAAUGCGUAGAGAUAUGGAGGAACACCAGUGGCGAAGGCGACUUUCUGGUCUGUAACUGACACUGAGGCGCGAAAGCGUGGGGAGCAAACAGGANUAGAUACCCUGGUAGUCCACGCCGUAAACGAUGAGUGCUAAGUGUUAGAGGGUUUCCGCCCUUUAGUGCUGAAGUUAACGCAUUAAGCACUCCGCCNGGGGAGUACGGNCGCAAGGCUGAAACUCAAAGGAAUUUGACGGGGGCCCGCACAAGCGGGGGAGCAUGUGGUUUUAUUUCGAAGCAACGCGAAGAAACUUACCAGGUCUUGACCUCCUCUGAAAACCCUAAAA
rnacentral:rRNA from 1 species